UCACAGGUGAUGUUUUGAACCAACGACGGGCGGAACCCGUCUUCCACAUCUUUGGUUGAACCGACGACGGGCGGAACCCGUCUUCCACAUUUCAUUUCCGGGGUUUCCCCGAAGUCAAAAUUAAGCCUGAUUGCGCGCAGGUGGGGAUAAUUUGCACAGCGGUCGCUGAUAGGCUGACGAGGAGAAGAGUCAGUGCAUAAAAAGACCUUUGAAGACACCAAACGGUGUGCUUGUGGUGUACUUUGUAUACGCUGUGUUGCUGCUUUGCAGACGGACCACGCUGGCUGGAUCGCUCUCCUGGGGAAGAGAGAAAGGGGCAGUUAGCUGACGAAGGAAUAUUGUGGAGUUUCAUUGAGAAAGAGCCUACACAGAGCCAUCAAGAGUGCAGUUAAUAGCUGUUGUUGACAACGAAGUGUGAGUAACAGCUGUGGUACUUAUCUGUGCAAUACUUGUACAAAGAGUGUUUGGUGUGUUCCUUUGUGUUUUUGAGGUCCCUGGCCCCACUGGAGAGGGAAGCGUGGGCGAGCCGUGGUUUGACCGGAAGCACGGACGAAGCACUUGGUAGGAAGCAUCGUUCACCAGUAGAACAGUGGCCCUGUGGGAAAAAGGAAGCGCAGGUGAGCCAGAGGAGCGAUAAUCAACACGCCGGGCCUGUGAAUAACACACAUCUCACUCUCAUCGGCGGUCCAGCGAUCGCCCAACCAUCCUCUCGAGGUCGUCGUAGCCAGGUGGCAAGAGCAAUCUAAAAACCACGUGAAGUUGUAUAAGAGUGCUGUGGGUGAGUUUCACUGAUUGAUGGUGUUUACACUUUACUUGCUGUGUGUAUGCUGUGCUUGUAGCGUUCAAACCGCCUAGCCCUGACGAGUCACGAGACGGCGACAUCCGUUGUGGCCUGGGUCCUAAGGAGAGCGAGAAAAUUUGAGCCCUGUGCCCGGGGUGUGUCAACGAGAGCUUCGUUUGUCCAUAGAGCAGACAGUGGUGAAACCCAGUGAGUAUUAUCAAGAGUGUACCGUGCGGACUGUGGGUUGUAACGGUGUGUGUACUGACCUCUCCAACAGAAGCUCGUGGUGAGCGGAGCCCCGACGAAGGUUCGCCCCAACUCGUGACCCCGGUCGUGGAAGAAGGAGGGGGAGUUUGGGAAGCGUUCGGCUCCGUGUCAUCGGACCCACUAGUCCCUACGACGCCCGGACAGCCGGAGUGGAUGGGCGAAGGAAUACGGUGCACUGACACUGCAGCGAAAAUCCACUGUUUGCAGCAAUCACCUACCUGUACAAGUGAAGCUCUGUGUGCAUGAAGAUCCCCAGUGCUAAAUUACCUACCUGUGCCGGUGAAGCUCUGUGUGGGAACGAGGAUCCUCCAGUGCUGUGGGUAACGUAACCUGUGGAGAGAACUUGACCUGUGGCUAUAGCCAUCACUUACCGUUCCAACGAAGGUCCCGUGUUGAACGAACAGCGACUAGUAACAAAGUACCUUACCCUUGUCUGAUUAUUAUUCUGAUUCUGCCUCCAGGAGAAGCGGAGCGCGCCACGGAUUGUUGGGCCAGAGCCCCCAAAGGAGCCCCUGUCCCCAGUCUUUCCCCCAAGUGGCCCUGGAGGCGAAGAAGAGACACACUAGUUUUAAAUUACCCUUUCCCCUUCCCCCUUUCCUUUUAAAUAUUUAAUAAAGCUUGUUUUAACUGUA